AUUGAACGCUGGCGGCAGGCUUAACACAUGCAAGUCGAGCGGGGGAAGGUGCUUCGGUACUGACCUUAGCGGCGGACGGGUGAGUAAUGCUUAGGAAUCUGCCUAUUAGUGGGGGACAACAUCGCGAAAGGGAUGCUAAUACCGCAUACGUCAUACGGGAGAAAGCAGGGGAUCAAUUGUGACCUUGCGUUACUCGAUGAGCCUAAGUCGGAGUAGCUAGUUGGAGGGGUAAAGGCCUACCAAGGCGACGAGUUGUAGCGGGUCUGAGAGGAUGAUCCGCCACACUGGGACUGAGACACGGCCCAGACUCCUACGGGAGGCAGCAGUGGGGAAUAUUGGACAAUGGGGGGAACCCUGAUCCAGCCAAGCCGCGUGUGUGAAGAAGGCCUUAUGGUUGUAAAGCACUUUAAGCGAGGAGGAGGCUCUUUUGGUUAAUACCCAAGAUGAGUUGACGUUACUCGCAGAAUAAGCACCGGCUAACUCUGUGCCAGCCGCCGCCGUAAGAC
rnacentral:rRNA from 1 species